CGAGCCUCGCUCGGGCUACCCGGCAUAUCUGAGGAGUGGGAAUGAGACCCAAAUGGCUGGAGCCAGAGGGCCAAGAGGAGGAGACUGGACGUGAGGAAAUGGUGAUAUUGCAAAGCACAUGAGUCCGGGGACCAGCGAAAGGGGAGCUUGAAAUCUGCUUCUCUCAACACCCUGUUGUGUGCCCCAGAAUCACUUCUGCUUCUAGCCUGGAAGUGGACAAGGAUGGAGAGAGAUUGGAGAUGAGCAAAAUGAAAGCAAAGCAAAGUGUUCCAUCUUCCAGAAGGGUCCCCAGAGUUACGUAGCUUCCCAGUUCUGGGUGGAACCCAGAAACUAUUGCCUCUGAGCAGAGGGCUGGAUGAGUCGAUGCAUGUGAAGCCCUUAACAACAGUGUCGGGCACCAGAAAGAAUCUCAGGGCUCAGCUCGCCACUUCCUGAAUAAAGAGAGAAAAAUGCCCAGAGUGCUGGAUUCAUUGAGAGGUGCAGAGCGAUCAGCAGAAAUCCUGACCGACUGAGGGGCCCAGAGGGCAAAGGAAGAACGUUUCUCCGUUCAGCUACAACCUAAGAUAAGUGCGAGGUCCCCAGUCACCAAAUACUCCCCCGGCCCUCCCAGUGGCCACAGGGAGGCCAGCUGGGAGGAAGGUACAGGCUUCCCUGGCUUGUUGCUAUGGAGUCGGCGUCAUCCAAGACAGUAUUGUCAGUCAGUCCAAUUCAAAGACAGCAGUGGCAGUAAUGGAACUGCAUUGAAAUUACAAAUAUUUACUUGAAAAAAAAAAAGUCCAAAUCAGAUGUAACUGAGAUGAUAAGGUUCUGUUUACUUCUCUAGGUAGUAGCCGGGAAACAGCCAAACCAGUUAGGGUAGGAAAUUUUCUUUUUUUGGUCAGGUAUGUACUGAAUCACUGGCAGCAAACUUCAGGGAUUUUUAAGAGAGAAGAUUUCUUUCUCUCUAGGUUCUCCUGGGCAGAGUGCCUGUAUUCCUUCCCCUCCACACACUUUUUUAAAAGCAAUUCGAGGCCAGCUGAGCUCAUUUUGAUUAUUGCUGUUAGUUUCCUGCCACUUGUCUUUGUAGGCUGGAGUGAGGCCUCAGGAUUUAGAUGAGAAACAUCGGGCUGCUCUCCUCUUCGAGAAACCUUACCUGUGUGGUUUCCUAGCUUGCCUUUUCAUCACUUACUCGGUUGAGGUCUGCCAUAGCUGGCCUAUUAAAGAGAAAUUUGAAAUCAGUGGGUGAAAGGGCUAAGAAAGAGAAAAAUACAGUUGAGCAGUGAGUGUACUUGGCUGGGUACCCUUAUGGGAGACUGAUUUCAUUGGCCUUUGGAACACUGGAGGGGAUUGCAAAACAUGCAGCUAGAACAGAGCGAGAAUGCAGAUAGAAGCGGGGGGCAGAAUGGGGAGACAAAGAGGGGUUUCCCUUUCCUCAGACAGGGGGGAUCAUUCUUACUAAAGUGCGUUUCUUGGGGCAGCUCAGAAGCAGGAGAAAAUGCCAGGCAAUAAGGGCGGUGGCCAUUUGAAUAAUGAAUAUAUAACACGCAGUGAUUUCAAACCUCACAGUUUGUUAUUGGAAGUUUUUCUUCCCAUUUGGAGGGCAGGUUUCCAUCAAUUCUCUUGUCUAAUUCCUGCUUCCUGCUAAGCUGCUGCUGUUUUCAAGAAAACACUUGGGUCAUCGUUUGAGAGCUUCAAAAACCUCAGUGUUCAAUUAGCCUCCUUUUGAAUCCCUUCUGACGGUUGGUUAAAUAUGGGUCCAAAGUCCUUUCUGUGAGUAGGGCUGAUCCUGGGGUGAGGAAACUUAAUUUUCUGAGUGUUAAGAAACAAAAAUAAUGUUUUAACAGCACCAUUACUAGAAAACUUGGAAAUUGCACUCUUCUAGUCUGUUCUGUUCAAUUCCAUUUUAUGGACCUCUGAACAUUUCAUAGUACAAAGGGCUAUUAUAUAAAAAGGACAUUUGGAUAUCCUUCUUAAAGGUUCCCUUGUACUUUCAUAGCAUGUUUACAAGGUUACUAAGUAUGCUUUCUCAUCACUGUAUUUUAAAUGGCUCGACUACUACUCCCACGUUUGAGAAUCAUUGAAACUGCCUGAAUGGAACCGGGAUAUCCUUUGUUCCCCAUUGAUUCGGAAACAAAAGACGCAGGAAAAAAAGUUUAUUUUGCUGCUGAAUGCCAUAUGCAGAUGAACGCAUUGUCGAUUAAAUUAAACCAAGGAUCUGAAGACUUUUUCAAGCCUUAGAAAGAAUGUUCUUAUAGUUAUGGUACAUGUUAGAAUUUGCCCUCCAGUUUUCAUUUAUUCUGUUGUGCUUGUGUCUAACGUGGGGUUAUUUAAGUCACACACCCAAGUCUUCAGGAAUAAUAAAGCGUAAUCAAUAGAGGAGAAUCAGCAUCAAAAAAGACCAAAGUUGCUGUGUUGUUUCUUAGGUGGGAAAAUACCAGCUGGACAUAAGUAGGCAGUGCCCUCCAUUCAUUUCCUCCCUUCUCCAUCUUUUCCAGUUUCUCUAGACCGGAGAUUCUCAUUUUCGGCACUGUUGACAUUUGGACUGGGUCAUUCUGCGUUGCAGGGGGCUGUCCUGUGCGUUGUGGGGUGUCUACCAGCUUCCUGGGCCUAGACCCCAGUUGCUGGCGGCACCCCCCACAGUCAUGACAGGUGGGGACCACAGCAGGAAGUGCAUCCCAGCAUAUACAGCUAGAUGGUUGUUUUUUAAUAGAAGUCUAAUGAAGAAAAUAAUAAUGGACUCCCAGCCUACUGAUCAGAGAAGCCUACUGAUAUUUAAACAGCUAAACAAAAGUACAUGCUUAUAGUUAGAAACUUGAAAUUGCAUAGAAAAGUUACAGAAUAAAAAGUAGAAGACAUUCCCCUAUCUAUCUACAAAAAGAAACACUUGUAACCAAUUUCUCAUGAGUUGUUCCAGAAAAUUUCUCUAUGCCCAUAGGUAUACAUUUACUAGCAAAAUAUACCUUAAAUUGCUUUAAAUGCGCACACACACAUGCAUACACACAUACCAGAAUGGUUUCUUUAACCCUUGCACAGUUUGUACUUAGAUACUUAUUUGCUCAACUAUGUGUUGAACAUCUCUCUUCCAUCCAACUGUACCUGCCUGUCCACCAUUCUAUCCCCGGUGCCUGGCACACAGCAAGCCUCAUUACCUGUUCGUUGAACAAUUGGUUAAACUGGUACACAGUCUUCAACAGCAGGUGCUAUGCUUUUAUUAAUGUACCGUGUCGUGGCCAAAACACGAUCCUUAUGCCAUUGGUGAAGUUCCUUAGGAUUUGUAUCCAAUGAACAUUUAUAAAUUUUUAAAAAUUGUUAGCAUUCUAGGUGUUUUCAAGUGAAUUAGCUCAUGCAGUCCUCAGGCAGAUCUCCUAAAGUGAUUAUUUUCAUUUCUGCUUUUCAAAUGAGAAAGACUCAGAUAUCAAGACCGAACUAUAGAUGAAGAUGUAAUAUUAGGAAAAAGUUCUAGGCCUCCAUGCCCUAUUUCUAUUUCUUGGUAACUUCAUUUUUUUUUCUUUUUACCAAUCUCAGCAGUCAGAAUGCUGUGACCGUUUGAGCUGAGCUUUAAAUACCAAAUAUUUCUAUAUAGUCUCUCGUGUCACAAAGAUACAUUUCAAGUCUCUCUAAUUAGCCCAGCAGAUGAAACAAAGAUCUGAAGACUCACUAAACACUAACAAAACAAACAAGCAAACAGAAAAUUCCUCUAACACAAGAGAAACUUCUUGACAGUGUAAAAAAUGAAUCCACCUGGCUUCUAAGAAGCAGGUCUGAGCAGCUCAGAAUCAAAACACAGGAAGUAAGUUGUAAAUGGCAGAAUGAAUAAAACAACUAUUUUGGGGGUGAAACAGAAGUUGCUCUCUGCACUUUAGAUGUCACCUUUCAAAGUGAGGAGGGAGCACGCGGGGUCAAAAUGUUCACCCACGGGCUCCAUUUUCAAAAAGAAACAGUAUACAACUCGGUAAAUAAGAAAAACAUCGAACUACAUGGCUAAAAAUGGGUGAAUUUUACAGCAUGUAAAUUAUAUCUCAAGGUGUUAAAGAAAAAAAAGGAAGAGCCAAAUUAAGUUAAAAGUUGUUUUAUCUUUGCCAGAGUGUGUGUGUGCGUGUGUGUGU